AGCAGAGACCAGAAAGACAGAUGAGAAACACUAUCCUACUAUAUGCUGUUUACAAGAAACACACUUUAGAUUCACGGCAGAGACCAGCAGGACAGAUAAGAAACAUGAUCCCACUAUAUGCUGUUUACAAGAAACACACUUUAGAUUCAGAGAUACAAUGAAAGUUAAAGGGUGAAAAAAGAUACCAUGCAAACAAUAAUCAAAAAAGAGCUAAGUGGCUAUACUAAUAACAUACAAAAGGGACUUAAAGACAUUUUUUUUUCACUAAAGACAAAGAAGGACAUGUCAUAAUGAUAAAAGGGUCUGUUCAUCAGAAAGAAAUAGAAAUACAGAUGCACUUAACAGAGCUUCAAAAUUUAUGAAACAAAAGCUGACAAAACUGAAGGAUUCAAUACCUCACAUUCAAUAUCAAUAUAACUGGGCAGAAGAUCAAUAAGGGAAGAGAAGACAUAAACAAUCAGACUACAAACCAAUCAGACCUAACAGGCUUCUAUACAACACUACAAACCAAUCAGACCCAACAGGCUUCUAUACAACACUACAAACCAACCUCUGACCCAACAGGCAUCUAUACAACACACACACCAACCUCUGACCCAACAGGCAUCUAUACAACACUACAAACCAACCUCUGACCCAACAGGCAUCUAUACAACACUAGAAACCAAUCAGACCCAACAGGCAUCCAUAUAACACUACAAACCAAUCAGACCCAACAUGCAUCUAUACAACCCUACAAACCAAUCAGACCCAGCAGGCAUCUAUACAACACUACAAACCAACCUCUGACCCAACAGGCUUCUAUGCAACACUACAAACCAAUGAGACCCAACACACAUCUAUACAACUCUACAAACCAAUCAGACCCAACAGGCAUCUAUACAACACUACAAACCAACCUCUGACCCAACAGGUGUCUAUACAACACUACAAACCAAUCAGACCCAACAGGCAUCUAUACAACACUCCACCCAACAAGAGCAGGAUAGAUAUUCUUCAACACUCUGGGACAGAAAAUACGGUAUGCCAAUAAAAUAACUCUCAAUACAUAUAAAAGACGAGAAAUCAUACAAUCUAUGUUUUUUAGCCAUAAUGGAGUGAAAUAAGAAAUCAGUAACAGGCCAGGUAUGGUAGCUCAUGCUUGUAAUCCCAGCACUUUGGGAGGCAAAAGUGGCAGGAUCACUUGAGCCCAGGAGUUCCAACACAGCCUGGGCAACAUAGUCGGACCCUGUCUCUACAACAAAAUUUUUAAAAAUUUAGCCAGGCUUGGUGGCUCAUGCCUGUAGUCUCAGCUACUCAGGAGGCUGAGGUGGGAGGUCAAGGCUGCAGUGAGCUGCGAUCACUGCACUGCACUCCAGCCUGGGAGAUAAAGUGAGAUCUUGUCUCUCAAAA
rnacentral:lncRNA from 1 species